GGCUCAGUGGUCUAGUCGAAUGAUUCCUGCUUUGGGUGCAGGAGGUCCCGGGUUCAAUUCCCGGCUGAGCCC